GCCUGGGUGGCUCAGUGGGUUGAGCGUCUGACUUCGGCUCAGGUCAUGAUCUCACAGUCUGUGAGUUCGAGCCCCACGUCGGGCU
rnacentral:tRNA from 1 species